UUAAGAUAAAACAUUCAGUUUUUACUGUGGGACCAAUCCUAACCGUUAGCGCGCGCUAAAGAAGUAGAUACAGUUACAAAUACGACAUUUCACUGACUUUCUAUCGGUGUCAGUCCGUUUGAUUUACAACGGUUGGGUCACAUAUUCGUACCAACAUGUAUUUAGCGAUAUUUUUCUGAUAUUACUAGGUUGCAUCGCUUUUAACAGUAAAACGAUUGACGGUGGGACUUAAUUGAACUAACUUUGGACUGUGACCUGAUAAAUGU